rnacentral:rRNA from 1 species
GACGAACGCUGGCGGCGUGCCUAAUACAUGCAAGUCGAACGCAGUGGGGACGGGUGAGUAACACGUGGGUAACCUCCCAUCAGAGGGGAUAACACUUGGAAACAGGUGCUAAACCGAUACUGAUGGAUGGACCCGCGGUGCAUUAGCUAGUUGGUGAGGUAACGGCUCACCAAGGCCACGAUGCAUAGCCGACCUUGGAGGGUGGUCGGCACAAAUGGGACUGAGACACGGCCCAGACUCCUACGGGAGGGAGCAGUAGGGAAUCUUCGGCAAUGGACGAAAGUCUGACCGAGCAACGCCGCGUGAGUGAAGAAGGUUUUCGGGUCGUAAAACUCUGUUGUUAAGGAAGCGGUACUUAACCAGAAAGGGACGGCUAACUACGUGCCAGCAGCCGCGGUAAUUC